AGAGUUUGAUCCUGGCUUAGGACGAACGCUGGCGGCGUGCCUAACACAUGCAAGUCGAGCGGGGACAUUGCGACGGAGACGAAGUACUCGUACGGAGUCAAAGAUGUAAUGUCUAGCGGCGGACGGGUGAGUAACGCGUGAGCAACCUGUCCCUUACAGGGGGAUAACACAGCGAAAGUUGUACUAAUACCGCAUAAGACCACAGGAUGACAUCGUCCAGGGGUCAAAGGAGCAAUCCGGUAAGGGGUGGGCUCGCGUCCGAUUAGAUAGUUGGUGAGGUAACGGCCCACCAAGUCGACGAUCGGUAGCCGACCUGAGAGGGUGAUCGGCCACAUUGGGACUGAGACACGGCCCAAACUCCUACGGGAGGCAGCAGUGGGGAAUAUUGGGCAAUGGGGGGAAACCCUGACCCAGCAACGCCGCGUGAGGGAAGAAGGUUUUCGGAUCGUAAACCUCUGUCCCAGGUGAAGAGGAAGAGACGGUAGCCUGGGAGGAAGCCCCGGCUAACUACGUGCCAGCCGCCGC
rnacentral:rRNA from 1 species